UAGGAUGUGACAGAGUGAUAUCUGAGCUUAGAGCUUAGGUUAUGUUCAUUUGGAGACAAUGAUACAAGUGAUUAGGAUAUGACAGAACAGUACUAGAGCCCCGGGUUUAAGGUCACUAGGGAUUGUUAUAUAAGUGAUAUCAAAAUUUUGGGAUUAUAAUCAAUAGAGUAUGAUAGAUAAUAUCAGAGUUUAAGGUUAUAAUCAUUAAGGAUGUAAUAGAAUGAUAUUAUAAUUUAGGUUAUGAUCAUCAGAAAAUAUGAUUUAUGUGGUAUUUGAGUUUAAGGUUAUAAUUAUUCAGAAUUGUAAUUCUAGUGAUAUCUGAACUUAGGUUAUGAUCAUGA
rnacentral:lncRNA from 1 species